AGCUAAUCAACUUUUGCUUGCAAUACAACAUAAUAUACAAGCACGUUUUCUAUUUUUUCUUUGGCAAUUCAAUUACAGAUAACCAAAAUUAAAAUAAUUGCAGACAAGGAGAGCUGCUGAGACAGAACAAAGUGUGGGAUCUUGCCAGUGCCUUAGCACUUUACAUUAAUUUAAUAGGGAGAGCAUGUAUAAUUUUCCAGAACUAAAGAGCUUCAAAAGAACAUAUACAACAAUAUGGGAUAUGAUGAGUGGGUGAGGUAGAAACUACAAAAGCUGCAAAAGCCCAAAUUUAAGCAAUAAAGUAAAGAAAUAAGAAUCAUAAAGUUCUUAUCGUUAGACCAACUGGGUAGAGUUUUGAUAUUGGAAUUUUGCAGUUCCUAUUAAAACAAUCCAUAAUUGAGACAAUUAGCAGAAGCUAAGAGGCAUCCUAGUAAGAAUCAAACCCAAAUGAAACUUGUCACAAGCAGGUAAAAUCCAAUACUUGAUUCAACAAAAAGGGAUAAGAUUUUCCAUAGGAUUUCUUCCUCAACUACUUGUAAGUCAAACCCUAAUCACAUAAGAAUCUAGAUCUAGAACAAAAGCUAAAAAUGAAGACACAAAGAAACACAAAAUAACCCCGAUCUAAGCCCGCUCACCCCUAAUCCUUCGUGCCAGCUGAAUAUCCUUAGGCAUGAUAGUAACCCUCUUAGCGUGAAUAGCACACAAGUUCGUAUCCUCAAAUAACCCAACCAAAUAUGCCUCAGCUGCCUCCUGUAGGGCUGCAACAGCACUGCUCUGGAAUCUCAGAUCAGUCUUGAAAUCUUGAGCAAUUUCCCUAACCAAUCUCUGGAAUGGAAGCUUCCUGAUCAAAAGCUCCGUGCUCUUUUGAUACUUCCUGAUUUCUCUUAGGGCCACAGUCCCAGGUCUAAACCUGUGGGGCUUCUUUACUCCACCGGUUGCCGGAGCAGAUUUCCUCGCAGCCUUGGUGGCUAGCUGCUUCCUUGGGGCCUUGCCUCCAGUAGAUUUCCGAGCGAUUUGCAGUGUCCUUUAAUGGAUAACAAUCAACUGGUGUGAUUUUUAGGCUUUUGCUGCACGCUUGUGUCAAUUGUCCAUGUAAAUUAGUGGUGGGGCAAAAGUUAAUAGGCCUUCUGUUGAUGGUGUAGCUAUGAUUAUUGGUUUUUUCAACGUUUGCUUUUUCUAAAUGCCAAAAUUUUAGAUAUUUAUUUCUGACUACCUUACACAUAUCAACUUCAAAAUUACUUUGGUCACUAGUGAAUAUCAGAUCUAUCGAGUAUGGGAUGAUAACUGGUAGUUUUACUGCCAUUUUACUACAGCAAAUUUGUAACUAUGGCACAAUCCUCUUAUAUUCUUCUGAUAAUUUUAUUUGAAUGCAAUCAUCAUUGCUCCAUGCUUUAAGAAUUAAAUGUUUAGCUACUGCUUGGUUGCAGGUACUGAAUCCAUUGAUGGAGUU
rnacentral:misc_RNA from 1 species